GGCGCGAAACUUGUAUAGCGCCAUCUGUGGCGUUAAGAAAAUUUGUGCAACAGAAAGCCUAGUCAAAGGCAUCAGACUUGAUGUUUGUUACCAUAGAAUUCAUGACUUUGCUCCGGAUGAACAAAUAGUUGUGAACCGCUAAUUGGAUUGCUGAUUUGCUAAUGAUGAUGAUUCGCUAUUUGGAUUGCUGAUGAUGAUUCUCUAAUUGGAUUGCUGAAUCGCUAAAUGAAGAUGACUUGUUACAAAAGAACCGAAUAAAAGAAAAAUAAGAACUCAACAA